GACGAACGCUGGCGGCGUGCUUAACACAUGCAAGUCGAACGGAAAGGCCUGCUUUCCCUUGUGGAUUGCGGGUACUCGAGUGGCGAACGGGUGAGUAACACGUGAGUGAUCUGCCCCCAACUUGGGUAUAAGCCUGGGAAACUGGGUCUAAUUCCCGAUAGGACUGCAGGGUGGUGCCUGUGGUGGAAAACGAUUUUCUAGUGGUUGGGGAUGAGCUCGCGGCCUAUCAGCUUGUUGGUGGGGUAAUGGCCUACCAAGGCGGCGACGGGUAGCCGGCCUGAGAGGGUGGACGGCCACAUUGGGACUGAGAUACGGCCCAGACACCUACGGGAGGCAGCAGUGGGGAAUAUUGCACAAUGGGCGGAAGCCUGAUGCAGCGACGCCGCGUGGGGGAUGACGGCCUUCGGGUUGUAAACUCCUUUCGACCGCGAGGAAGCCACCUGGUUGGAAGGGUGGUGACGGUAGUGGUAGAAGAAGCACCGGCUAACUACGUG
rnacentral:rRNA from 1 species